rnacentral:tRNA from 1 species
GCUUUCGUGGCGUAAUGGUCAGCACCCUCGACGCGUAAUCGAGAGGUCCGUGGUUCGAUUCUCGGCGAGUGCA